rnacentral:rRNA from 1 species
AGUCCACAUCGACGGGGAGGUUUGGCACCUCGAUGUCGGCUCAUCACAUCCUGGGGCUGUAGUAGGUCCCAAGGGUUGGGCUGUUCGCCCAUUAAAGUGGUACGCGAGCUGGGUUCAGAACGUCGUGGGACAGUUCGGUCCCUAUCCGUCGCAGGCGUAGGAAAUUUGAGAAGACCUGUCCUUAGUACGAGAGGACCGGGAUGGACGUACCUCUGGUGUACCAGUUGU